rnacentral:rRNA from 1 species
AACGAACGCUGGCGGCAUGCCUAACACAUGCAAGUCGAACGGGAUCCUAGCUUGCUAGGUGAGAGUGGCGGACGGGUGAGUAACACGUGGGAAUCUGCCUUUUGGUUCGGGAUAACCGCGGGAAACUGCGGCUAAUACCGAAUGCCCUCGAGAGAGGAAAGAUUUAUCGCCAGAAGAGGAGCCCGCGUCCGAUUAGGUAGUUGGUGGGGUAAAGGCCUACCAAGCCGACGAUCGGUAGCUGGUCUGAGAGGAUGAUCAGCCACACUGGGACUGAGAUACGGCCCAGACUCCUACGGGAGGCAGCAGUGGGGAAUAUUGGACAAUGGGGGCAACCCUGAUCCAGCAAUGCCGCGUGAGUGAUGAAGGCCUUAGGGUUGUAAAGCUCUUUUGCCAGGAGAUGAUGACUGUACCUGGAGAAUAAGCCCCGGCUAACUUCGUGCCAGCAGCCGCGGUAAU